GGCAGAGGGUGGGAGGAGACGGGCUGGCCGAGGGGCAGAGAAAAGGCAGGAAGGAAGCUGAUAUAAAAAAAAAAAAAUCUAUCUUGAGAAACAAUUCCUCUCCAUCUUUAAAUCCUAUGAAACUCAAAAAAUAAAAUCUGCUCUUGAAAUCUAAUGAUUAGACAGGCAUAGAAUACCAGUUAUAGACAUUCUGGCUAAAAGGGGAGAAAAUUUAAAGGAAAAAAGAAGUCACUAGUUCAAAAUAUUUUCAAAAUUCAGCUGUUUAAACUUCCUUUGUAUUACAUAAAAUUAAUUAUUAUUAUAUAAAUAUUAUUUUAUUUAAUGAUGGGAUUAUAGUAUUUCUUUGUGUGUGUAAUAAAACUUGAAACAACCUUACAAUAAAUUUAAUUGCUUAAUCCUUACCUUCCUCCGAGUUAACCUGACAAGUAAACUUUGAUUGUUUUUUUCUAUAAGUAUUUUAGACAUUAAGUUGCCACAUAUUACAUGUUUAUUUUGGUUUAGCUGUGUGUUCCUGGGAUCAAUCUAGCACCAGCUUUCUUUACUGAUAUCUGACUAAAUAUUCUCAGAAUUGGAUACCUUUUUUUUUUUUUUUUUUUUUUUUUUUGUCUUUUUAGGCCACAGGCUGGGGUCGAAUCGGAGCUGUUGCUGCUGGCCUACGCUAGAGCCACAGCAAGGCCAGAUCUAGCCAUGUCACGGCAACACCUGAUCCUUAAACCUACUGAGCAUGGCCAGGGAUUGAACCCUCAAUCUCAUGGUUCUAGUUGGAUUCGUUUCCUCUGUGCCACGACAGGAACUCCAGAAUUGGAUACCUUUAAUAUCUUCAUGGAAACUUCAUUUUGGCCUUUUGUCAAGGUCCUUAGGCAUUUGUCUACCUUGAGAGUUCCAGAAGCAACAACAUUGACAUUAACCCAUAUGGGGACCUUAGUUGAGGAGGAGGUGGCAGUACAGCAGUGGGAAGAGGACAGAUCUGUUAAUUUUUGCAUCUAUAGUUCUAUUUUUGGUAGUUUACUUAGAAAGUCACCUCCUAUCUGACUUUAUAAUGUCUUGUCCUAUUGUUUUAAUCACAGUACUAUUAAGACCUUAUUCUUAACUUUAUGUUUUUUUAAUUCAGUGAAUUUUAUGUUUAUAGUUGUAUAAUCACUAUCACAACCUAAUUUUAGAACAUUUCCAUCUGAAACUCCCAGUCCAUCUCUCCCCCUCAGUCUUUCCCCUUUAGUAAGCACAAGUUUUUCAAAGUCUGUGGAUCUGUUUCUUUUCUGCAAAUAGGUAUUUUUUUUUUUUUUUUGGUCUUUGCUAGGGCCGCACCCAUGGCAUGUGGAGGUUCCCAGGCUAGGGGUCUAAUUGGAGCUGUAGCCACCAGCCUAUGGCACAGCCACAGCGAUGAGGGAUCUGAGCCACAUCUGCAACCUACACCACAGCUCAUGGGAACGCCGGAUCCUUAACCCACUGAGUGAGGCCAGGGGCUGAAUCCUCAACUUCAUGGUUCCUAGUUGCAUUUGUUAACCACUGAGCCAUGACAGGAACUACUCAUUUUAGAUUCCACAUAUAAGUGUUUUAGCAUGUGAUGUUUGUCUCUCAUUGUCUGACUAACUUCACUUUAGCAUUAUAAUUUUUAGGCCCAUACAUGUUGCUAUAAAUGCCAUUAUUUCAUUCUUUUUUAUGGCUGAGUAAUAUGCCAUGGUAUAUAUGUAUCUCAUCUUCCUUAUCCACUCCUCUUUCGAUGGAAAUUUAGCUUUCUUCCAUUUCUUGGCUAUUGUGUACAGCACUACAAUGAACAUUGAGAUAUAUGUAUCUUUUUGAGUGAUGGUUUCCUCCAGAUAGAUGCCCAGGAGUGGGAUCAUAUGGUAGUUCUAUUUUUAGUUUUUUGAGGAACCCCCAUACUAUUUUCCAUAUUGGUUGUACCAUUUUACAUCCCUACAAACAGUGUAGGAGGGUUUCCUUUUCUCCACACCCUCUCCAGCAUUUUUUGUUUGUAGACUUUUUGAUGAUGGCCAUUCUGGCUGACCUCAUUGUAGUUUUGACUGAUAUUUCUAAAAUAAUUAGUGAUAUUGAGCACCAUUUCACGUUUUUUUUUUUUUUUUUUUUGGUGGGGGCAUCCCUAUACCUUCUUUGGAGAAAUGUCUGUUUAUAUCUGCCCAUUUUUUAAUUUUUUUUUUCAUAUUGAGAUGCAGGACAUGUUUUUAUAUUUUGGAGAUUAAUCCCUUGUGAGGCACUUCAUUUGCAAAUAUUUUCUCCCAUUCUGUGAGUUGUCUUUUUGUUGAGGGUUUCCUUUGCUGUGCAAAAACUUUUAAGUUUAUAUUUUAACUUUAUAUUUUAUUUCAUCAGGAAUUAAUUUUAUUAUAUACUGUCUACCAAUAUCAUUUAUUAAAAAUUCCAUUGGUUUGCUAACUGAUCUGAGAUACUUCCUAUAUCAUGCAUUUAAUACAUGUUCUUGGGCGUGUUUCUGAUUUUUAUAUGUUGUUAUACUGAUGCUUAUGUCAGUAUCAUACUGUUUUAAUUACUAUGUCUUUAGGAUAUAAGUUAAUAUUUUAUACAGCUACGCCCUCAAAUUAUCCUUCCGGUAAUGUUUUUGCAAUUCUCAUAUUUUUCUCCUGUUGUUCUCCAAAUUAACUUAUGUAUCAUUUUGCAAAAUUCUGAAGAAAAAUCCCUUUGGUGUUUUGGAUAGCUUAUACAAAUGUGUUGAUUAACUCUGGGAAAAAUGUAUCUCUUUAUGUUACUAGCUCCUUUAAUUCAGUACUGUAAUAAGAUGCUACACAUCAUAUUUGAGCCUUAAUUUACUAUCUUAUUAAAGCUUUUAAUUUUCUGUGUUUGUCAGUAUUGAAAUUAGUUAUCUUUCUCUCUGUAUGUCAUACUUUUCUUUGUUAUUUUGAAUAAUUUUUUUUCUUUCUGACAGAGUCUAAAUUUAAAUUGCUAUUGAGCUGUUAAUUCUUGAUUAUUUUUUGACUCUCUUUUACUCAUUAUAUAAUUGUUGUAAUAUUUCAGAUGAUUCAGGUGAUUAUUUUAGGCUUUCCAAGUAAAAAGUAUAUGAUAUAUAAGGGUAGUUCAGCAUUUGUCUCUUUGUUUUAAAUAACUGUAGCCAUAAAGCGUUCUUAUUUUAUGAAAAUUAAGUAGAAUAUUUGUGUUUAUUAAUAGAAGUGACUCCAGAGUUUCAUAAUUAAAAUUUUGUUUUUGGGGGGUUCUCAUUGCAGCUUAGCAGGUUAUAAACCCUAUUAGUAUCCAUGAGAAUGUGGGUUCAAUUCUUGGCCUUGCUUAGUGGGUUAAAGAUCCGGCAUUGCCUUGAGCUGUAGUGAAGGUCGCAGAUGCAGAUAGGAUCUGGUGUUGCUGUGGCUGUGGUAAAGGCUGACAGCUGGAGCCUGGAAUCAAUCCAUAGGCCAGGAACUUCCAUAUGCUGCAAGUGCAGCCCUCAAGAGCAAAAUACAUACACACAUACAUAAAUAUUAAAAAAAUAAAACUGUGUUUCUGUGUUAAGAUAGUUUUUUU
rnacentral:lncRNA from 1 species